rnacentral:rRNA from 1 species
UACGUAGGGUGCGAGCGUUAAUCGGAAUUACUGGGCGUAAAGCGUGCGUAGGCGGUCGCUCAAGCUCGAUGUGAAAGCCCCGGGCUUAACCUGGGAAUGGCAUUGAGGACUGAGGGGCUGGAGUGCGGCAGAGGGAGGUGGAAUUCCACGUGUAGCAGUGAAAUGCGUAGAGAUGUGGAGGAACACCGAUGGCGAAGGCAGCCUCCUGGGCCGACACUGACGCUGAUGCACGAAAGCGUGGGGAGCAAAC